rnacentral:rRNA from 1 species
CCUACGGGAGGCAGCAGUGAGGAAUAUUGGUCAAUGGGCGAGAGCCUGAACCAGCCAAGCCGCGUGAGGGAGUACUGCCCUAUGGGUUGUAAACCUCUUUUGUCGGGGAGCAAAAGCCGGACGUGUCCGGCUGUGAGAGUACCCGAAGAAAAAGCAUCGGCUAACUCCGUGCCAGCAGCCGCGGUAAUACGGAGGAUGCGAGCGUUAUCCGGAUUUAUGGGGUUUAAAGGGUGCGCAGGCGGAUUUUUAAGUCAGCGGUCAAAUCGUGGGGCUCAACCCCAUCCAGCCGUUGAAACUGGGGAUCUAGAGUGUGCGAGAGGGAUGCGGAAUGCGUGGUGUAGCGGUGAAAUGCAUAGAUAUCACGCAGAACCCCGAUUGCGAAGGCAGCAUACCGGUGCACAACUGACGCUCAGGCACGAAAGCGUGGGUAUCGAACAGGAUUAGAUACCCGAGUAGUC